rnacentral:misc_RNA from 1 species
GGAAGGAUCAUUGAAUCUAUCAAUACCAACACUGUGAACCAAUUUGUCUGGCCUCCCGCUCACCCGGGGCGCUCUGGCCGCAUUCACUUGCGACCACGAGCGGGCUUGGGAGCUUCGGCUCUUGAGUCGGUCUAAAUCAACAUUAACACCAAACAAAACCAAUCUAAAGUGAAAAUGCAGUCGGCCUGGCCGCUGUAUCUAACCAAAGACAACUCUGUACAACGGAUAUCUUGGCUCUCGUAACGAUGAAGAACGCAGCGAAAUGCGAUACGUAGUGUGAAUUGCAGAAUUCCGUGAACCAUCAAAUCUUUGAACGCAUAUUGCGCUCAAGGCUUCGGCCGAGAGCAUGCCUGCCUCAGCGUCGGGUUAAUAUCACUCCAAACAACCCAUGUGGUUUAGUCCGAGUGGAACUGGCUGUCCAAUGCGCCGCAACUCAUACUUGCGACCAAGCGCGAUGGGUCAGCUGAAGUGCAGAGGUUAACGCAAGGACCCUUAUGGGCCGCAACUGGGUAGGCAGCUCACGCUUGCUAUUUCUAGUUGUUGGCUUGGACCAUGCGUUUGACCCUCAAGCAGGAAUUAACCUUAUUUUCUCGACCUGAGCUCAGACAAGAACACCCGCUGAACUUAAGCAUAUCAAUAAGCGGAGGAAAAGAAAACUAACAAGGAUUAGCCUAGUAACGGCGAGUGAAACGCUAAUAGCCCAACUUGAAAAUCUUCCUUUGAAGAAUUGUAGUCUAGAGAAGCGCCCUCUGCGGCGGCCGGAGCCAAGUUCGCUGGAAGGCGGCGUCAGAGAGGGUGAUAACCCCGUCGGCUCUAGGCUUAGCUGCUCCACGAGGUGCUUUCGAAGAGUCGUAUUGUUUGGGAAUGCAGUACAAAAUGGGAGGUAAAUCCCUUCUAAGGCUAAAUACUGACGAGAGACCGAUAGCGAACAAGUACCGUGAGGGAAAGAUGAAAAGAACUUUGAAAAGAGAGUUAAAAAGUGCUUGAAAUUGUACAGAGGGAAGCGUUUGGAAGGUGUAGGUGCGCUCAGGCUUAUGCGUCUCUAACGAGCCGCUGUAUGUGCUGAGUGCUGGUCAGCAUGGAUUAGCCUGGCGGGAUAACAACGGGGGUUGAUACCCUGUCUAUGCCGCCGGGUUGAUCAAGGUGUGAAUGGCGCUCGGUCCUCUGGAACUGCGCCAUCAAGAUGCUGGCAGAAGCCUUCCAACCGGCCCGUCUUGAAACACGGACCAAGGAGUCUAACAUGUAUGCGAGUUGGUGGGUGGAAAACCCAUGAAGCGCAAGUAACCUGACUGGUUGGACGGCGCAAGCCUGCACCAUCGACCGACCAUGAGCUUAUGCGAAAGGUUUGAGUGCGAGCAUACCUGUUGGGACCCGAAAAGAUGGUGAACUAUGCCUGAGCAGGGUGAAGCCAGAGGAAACUCUGGUGGAGGCUCGUAGAUGUGCUGACGUGCAAAUCGCUUUUCGGACUUGGGUAUAGGGGCGAAAGACUAAUCGAACCAUCUAGUAGCUGGUUCCCUC